GUGUGGUUAAGUGGUUUAAUGUCCGAGAUUUAGAGGUUAAAGGUCCUACAAGUGUACAAAGCAUGCCUUUCCUUUUCACUGGCUGCAUUUAUAUCUUGUCUCAUGUGGCUUGAUAUUCAUUCUAAUCUCAGUUACAAUGAGGAAACAUUUGUUAAUUCUUCCUACUUAUUUUAGCCAUGUCUGUAUUUGUCCGUGUGCAUGUGUGUUUUUGUU
rnacentral:misc_RNA from 1 species